CACGCACCUUUGAGACAAAUUGAACCAAAACACACAAAAACCAUCAAACUAGAGCCUCACCACGUCUGCCUCGUCUCACACAGUGUGCCAGACGCCACAUAAACAUCAAACCAAACAGCAACACACACGCACUUAUCACUUUCCAUUUCCUCCAUCCAGCUCCACCUGAUCUGCACGUGUUUGCAAAGAACUCCAGAGUGCAGACAAACAUCGUCCUCACCUGCCUCGCCACGGGCUUCUACCCCAAAGACGUCACAGUGACGAUCAGGAGGAACGAACGUGUUCUGACCGCAGACGACGGCCUGAAGAGCUCAGGACUUCUCCCCAAUAACGACGACACGUUCCAGAGGAGAGAGUACGUGGAGGUUUUAAAGUCUGACCCGGCUACAUACAGCUGCGACGUCUUUCACAAAGCGACCGGUGUGGGAAUUUCUAAGAGCUGGGAUCUCAACCUGUUACCUGUUCCUGAUGGCGAUGGAUCUGCCGUCACUGGUCUGGUGGCAGCACUCCUGCUCAUGCUCAUCGGUGUAGGCGUGAUUCUGCUGGUCCUACGUAAAAGACGCAAUAAUGGCAGGAGCAGCGCAGAUACACCAGAGUCGCAGGAGUUGAACGAUGUUCGUCAGGAGUAACAAUGGAGAUCAGAGCUUCCACAGAAGCACAUCGAGACUCGGUGGGACCAGAUUUACUGAAACAACACAAACAUUUGUUGCACUUUACAGGUGGAUCAGCAUUAAAUGGGAUUCCAUUUAAUUCAAUGGAUGGGUUUAAAGAAUUGUUAAUGCCCCUUGCAGCCAAAUCUACGGUGGCCCUGAGAGGUCCAACUUCAACAACAACAACAA